GACCGGUUAGCUCAGUUGGUCAGAGCGUGGUGCUAGUAUCACCAAGGUUGUCGGUUCGAUCCCCACAUGGGCCA